AUGAGUUAUUCAAUAGACAACAUAGUAUAGUAAUACACUAAUAAUUUCAUUUAUGAAAAUACAUGUAUGUGAUUUGGCAAAUAUAAUUAAUUAAAUUUAUAUACAUGUAAACAGGAAGUACAUAGUUUGGCUGCUCCAAUAUUAAGUAUGUCUAUAUUAUAUAGACAUUAUUUAUAGACUAUAAUAUAACUUACAAAAUGUAUAAAAUUCACACUGUAUACAAAUAUUAAAAUUUCUUAACAAUUUAUGUGAUCUACGACAUAACAGCUAAUAUAUAUAAAAAGAAAACCUAAAACUCAAAUGAUAUUGAAAAAAUAUA